GACGAACGCUGGCGGCGUGCUUAACACAUGCAAGUCGAACGGAAAGGCCCUGCUUUUGUGGGGUGCUCGAGUGGCGAACGGGUGAGUAACACGUGAGUAACCUGCCCUUGACUUUGGGAUAACUUCAGGAAACUGGGGCUAAUACCGGAUAGGAGCUCCUGCUGCAUGGUGGGGGUUGGAAAGUUUCGGCGGUUGGGGAUGGACUCGCGGCUUAUCAGCUUGUUGGUGGGGUAGUGGCUUACCAAGGCUUUGACGGGUAGCCGGCCUGAGAGGGUGACCGGCCACAUUGGGACUGAGAUACGGCCCAGUCUCCUACGGGAGGCAGCAGUGGGGAAUAUUGCACAAUGGGCGGAAGCCUGAUGCAGCAACGCCGCGUGCGGGAUGACGGCCUUCGGGUUGUGAACCGCUUUCGCCUGUGACGAAGCGUGAGUGACGGUAAUGGGUAAGGAAGCACCGGCUAACUACGUG
rnacentral:rRNA from 1 species